GAGAGCCGGAUGUAGCGAAAGUUACACGUCCGGAUCUAAAUGGGAGGGGCGAGGUGUAAUAGCCUCCCUCGACCCAAC
rnacentral:ncRNA from 1 species